rnacentral:rRNA from 1 species
GUCCAGACUCCUACGGGAGGCAGCAGUGAGGAAUAUUGGUCAAUGGUCGUAAGACUGAACCAGCCAAGUAGCGUGCAGGAUGACGGCCCUAUGGGUUGUAAACUGCUUUUAUGCGGGGAUAAAAUGCGUCACGUGUGAUGUUUUGUAGGUACCGCAUGAAUAAGGACCGGCUAAUUCCGUGCCAGCAGCCGCGGUAAUACGGAAGGUCCGGGCGUUAUCCGGAUUUAUUGGGUUUAAAGGGAGCGUAGGCCGCAUGUUAAGCGUGCCGUGAAAUGCCGUGGCUCAACCAUGGCACUGCGGCGCGAACUGGCUUGCUUGAGUGCGCGGAACGUAUGCGGAAUUCGUGGUGUAGCGGUGAAAUGCUUAGAUAUCAUGAAGAACUCCGAUCGCGAAGGCAAGUGUCCGGGGUGCAACUGACGCUGAGGCUCGAAAGUGCGGGUAUCAAACAGGAUUAGAUACCCUCGUA